rnacentral:rRNA from 1 species
CAGUCGCCACGGUAAUACGUAGGUCCCGAGCGUUGUCCGGAUUUAUUGGGCGUAAAGCGAGCGCAGGCGGUUAGAUAAGUCUGAAGUUAAAGGCUGUGGCUUAACCAUAGUACGCUUUGGAAACUGUUUAACUUGAGUGCAGAAGGGGAGAGUGGAAUUCCAUGUGUAGCGGUGAAAUGCGUAGAUAUAUGGAGGAACACCGGUGGCGAAAGCGGCUCUCUGGCUUGUAACUGACGCUGAGGCUCGAAAGCGUGGGGCGCAAACAGGAUUAGAUACCCCCGUAGUCCCUGUCUCUUAUACC